rnacentral:rRNA from 1 species
CAGUAAGGAAUAUUGGACAAUGGGCGAGAGCCUGAUCCAGCCAUCCCGCGUGCAGGAAGACGGCCCUUUGGGUUGUAAACUGCUUUUAUAAGGGAAGAACCGCCCCGAUUGAUCGGGGUAUGACGGUACCUUAGGAAUAAGCCCCGGCUAAUUCCGUGCCAGCAGCCGCGGUAAUACGGAGGGUGCAAGCGUUAUCCGGAAUCACUGGGUUUAAAGGGUGCGUAGGCGGUUAUGUAAGUCAGAGGUGAAAGGUCACAGCUCAACUGUGAGAUGGCCUUUGAAACUGUGUAACUUGAAUCAGAUAGAGGUUAGUGGAAUGCGACAUGUAGCGGUGAAAUGCAUAGAUAUGUCGUGGAAUACCGAUUGGGAAGGCAGCUAACUGGGUCUUGAUUGACGCUGAGGCAGGAAAGCGUGGGGACCGAACAGGAUUAGAUACCCUGGUAGUCCACGCCCUAAACGAUGUUAACUUGAUGU